UGGUCUAGUGGUUAAGCAUUUGGCUGCUAACCAAAAGGUUGGCAGUUCGAAUCUACC
rnacentral:tRNA from 1 species